rnacentral:rRNA from 1 species
UACGUAGGGUGCAAGCGUUGUCCGGAAUUAUUGGGCGUAAAGAGCUCGUAGGCGGUCUGUCACGUCUGCUGUGAAAACUCGGGGCUUAACCUCGGGCCUGCAGUCGAUACGGGCAGACUAGAGUUCGGUAGGGGGAGACUGGAAUUCCUGGUGUAGCGGUGAAAUGCGCAGAUAUCAGGAGGAACACCGAUGGCGAAGGCAGGUCUCUGGGCCACUACUGACGCUGAGAAGCGAAAGCAUGGGGAGCGAACAGG